rnacentral:rRNA from 1 species
CCUACGGGGGGCAGCAGUGAGGAAUAUUGGUCAAUGGACGAGAGUCUGAACCAGCCAAGUAGCGUGAAGGAUGACUGCCCUAUGGGUUGUAAACUUCUUUUAUAAGGGAAUAAAGUGAGCCACGUGUGGCAUUUUGUAUGUACUAUAUGAAUAAGGAUCGACUAACUCCGUGCCAGCAGCCGCGGUAAUACGGAGGAUCCGGGCGUUAUCCGGAUUUAUUGGGUUUAAAGGGAGCGUAGAUGGGUUGUUAAGUCAGUUGUGAAAGUUUGCGGCUCAACCGUAAAAUUGCAAUUGAUACUGGCAGUCUUGAGUACAGUUGAGGUAGGCGGAAUUCGUGGUGUAGCGGUGAAAUGCUUAGAUAUCACGAAGAACUCCGAUUGCGAAGGCAGCUUACUAAACUGCCACUGACAUUGAGGCUCGAAAGUGUGGGUAUCAAACAGGAUUAGAUACCCUAGUAGUC